CUUAAAAUAGGACCAGCUGCUGGAGCUUAAAUCAAUGGUAUCCAGAAAGUUAACUCUCCACUUAGGUGAAAAUACAGACGGAAAUAGAUCUGGUAUAGUGCAACAAAAUGCCGGUCUAGGUCUGAAAUUAAUAAAGCGUGGAUACUAUCAAAGGGUAGAAUGUAGAUACAGUUUAUGAGUAUAUAUGAAGUAGAGAACACC